UGAGCUCGAUGAGUAGGGCGGGACACGUGGUAUCCUGUCUGAAUAUGGGGGGACCAUCCUCCAAGGCUAAAUACUCCUGACUGACCGAUAGUGAACCAGUACCGUGAGGGAAAGGCGAAAAGAACCCCGGCGAGGGGAGUGAAAAAGAACCUGAAACCGUGUACGUACAAGCAGUGGGAGCACGCUUAGGCGUGUGACUGCGUACCUUUUGUAUAAUGGGUCAGCGACUUAUAUUCUGUAGCAAGGUUAACCGAAUAGGGGAGCCGAAGGGAAACCGAGUCUUAACUGGGCGUUAAGUUGCAGGGUAUAGACCCGAAACCCGGUGAUCUAGCCAUGGGCAGGUUGAAGGUUGGGUAACACUAACUGGAGGACCGAACCGACUAAUGUUGAAAAAUUAGCGGAUGACUUGUGGCUGGGGGUGAAAGGCCAAUCAAACCGGGAGAUAGCUGGUUCUCCCCGAAAGCUAUUUAGGUAGCGCCUCGUGAAUUCAUCUCCGGGGGUAGAGCACUGUUUCGGCAAGGGGGUCAUCCCGACUUACCAACCCGAUGCAAACUGCGAAUACCGGAGAAUGUUAUCACGGGAGACACACGGCGGGUGCUAACGUCCGUCGUGAAGAGGGAAACAACCCAGACCGCCAGCUAAGGUCCCAAAGUCAUGGUUAAGUGGGAAACGAUGUGGGAAGGCCCAGACAGCCAGGAUGUUGGCUUAGAAGCAGCCAUCAUUUAAAGAAAGCGUAAUAGCUCACUGGUCGAGUCGGCCUGCGCGGAAGAUGUAACGGGGCUAAACCAUGCACCGAAGCUGCGGCAGCGACGCUUAUGCGUUGUUGGGUAGGGGAGCGUUCUGUAAGCCUGCGAAGGUGUGCUGUGAGGCAUGCUGGAGGUAUCAGAAGUGCGAAUGCUGACAUAAGUAACGAUAAAGCGGGUGAAAAGCCCGCUCGCCGGAAGACCAAGGGUUCCUGUCCAACGUUAAUCGGGGCAGGGUGAGUCGACCCCUAAGGCGAGGCCGAAAGGCGUAGUCGAUGGGAAACAGGUUAAUAUUCCUGUACUUGGUGUUACUGCGAAGGGGGGACGGAGAAGGCUAUGUUGGCCGGGCGACGGUUGUCCCGGUUUAAGCGUGUAGGCUGGUUUUCCAGGCAAAUCCGGAAAAUCAAGGCUGAGGCGUGAUGACGAGGCACUACGGUGCUGAAGCAACAAAUGCCCUGCUUCCAGGAAAAGCCUCUAAGCAUCAGGUAACAUCAAAUCGUACCCCAAACCGACACAGGUGGUCAGGUAGAGAAUACCAAGGCGCUUGAGAGAACUCGGGUGAAGGAACUAGGCAAAAUGGUGCCGUAACUUCGGGAGAAGGCACGCUGAUAUGUAGGUGAAGUGAUUUACU
rnacentral:rRNA from 1 species